GGCCUUGAGGUGUAUUACAUGUUAGAUUGCAAACCUAAAGUUGUAGAUUAGAGUCUGCCGGGGCUU
rnacentral:tRNA from 1 species